UCUGAUUUAGUCCACGUGAUAACUUUGAAGUAGUCAAAACACCUGUUACUCACUGUCUAGUUUUUUUUGUUGUUGUUGUUUUUUCCUGAGACAGUCUCACUCUGUCGCCCAGGCUGGAGUGCAGUGGCGCGAUCUCGGCUCACUGCAAGCUCUGCCUCCCAGGUUCAAGCGAUUCUCCUGCCUCAGCUUCCUGAGUAACUGGGAUUACAGGCACACACCACCACACCCGGCUAAUAUUUCUAUUUUUAGUAGAGACGGGGUUUCAACAUGUUGGUCAGGCUGGUCUCAAUCUCCUGACCUUGUGAUCUGCCCACCUCGGCCCCCCAAAGUGGUGGGAUUCCAGGUGUGAGCCACCACACCUGGCCAUGUCUUCUUCUUAGUAUUUUUAGAGACAGGGUUUCUGUCGCCCAGGCCGGAGUGCAGUGGCAUAUUUUGGUUCGCUGCAGCCUCA
rnacentral:lncRNA from 10 species